rnacentral:rRNA from 1 species
UACAGAGGUGCCAAGCGUUAGGCGGAAUCACUGGGCUUAAAGCGCGUGUAGGUGGACGGGUAAGUAUCUUGUGAAAUCCCACGGCUCAACCGUGGAACUGCUGGAUAUACUGCUUGUCUUGAGGCACUUAGGGGCAGCUGGAACAAAUGGUGGAGCGGUGAAAUGCGUAGAUAUCAUUUGGAACGCCAAAGGCGAAAGCAGGCUGCUGGGAGUGAUCUGACACUGAGACGCGAAAGCCAGGGGAGCAAACGGGAGUUAAGAAACCCC